rnacentral:rRNA from 1 species
CUCAAUGUAAUUAAAUAGCCGCAAUAUUUGUGCUAAGGUAGCAUAAUCAUUUGUUUUUUAAUUAAAAACUAGAACGAAAGAUUUAACAAUUCUAUUUCUUUCUAACAUAUAUUUGUAUAAUUUAUUCUAAAUAUAAAAAAAUAUUUAUCUAUUAAGAAGACAAUAAGACCCUAUUGAACUUAACUAAAGUUAAACUGGGGCAGUUAAUUAAAUAUAAUUUUAAUUUAAAUUUAAAAAAACCUAAUAAAAUUAAAAAUCAAGUUACCAUAGGGAUAACAGCGUAAUAAUUUUCAUAAGAUCUUAUUUAAAAAAUCACUUACGACCUCGAUGUUGAAUUAAUAAUCUAUUAAAUGCAAUAACUUAAUAAGAAAGUCUGUUCGACUU